rnacentral:rRNA from 1 species
GUGAGGAAUAUUGGUCAAUGGGCGGGAGCCUGAACCAGCCAAGUCGCGUGAAGGAAGAAGGAUCUAUGGUUCGUAAACUUCUUUUGCAGGGGAAUAAAGUGCAGGACGUGUCCUGUUUUGUAUGUACCCUGAGAAUAAGGAUCGGCUAACUACGUGCCAGCAGCCGCGGUAAUACGGAGGAUCCGAGCGUUAUCCGGAUUUAUUGGGUUUAAAGGGUGCGUAGGUGGAUUGAUAAGUCAGCGGUGAAAGUUUGCAGCUUAACUGUAAAAUUGCCGUUGAAACUGUCGGUCUUGAGUGCAAAUGAGGUAGGCGGAAUGCGUGGUGUAGCGGUGAAAUGCAUAGAUAUCACGCAGAACUCCGAUUGCGAAGGCAGCUUACUAAGCUACAACUGACACUGAAGCACGAAAGCGUGGGGAUCAAACAGGAUUAGAAACCCCUGUAGUCC